rnacentral:rRNA from 1 species
AUUGAACGCUGGCGGCAUGCUUUACACAUGCAAGUCGAACGGCAGCGCGGGCUUCGGCCUGGCGGCGAGUGGCGAACGGGUGAGUAAUACAUCGGAACGUGCCCAGUAGUGGGGGAUAGCUCGGCGAAAGCCGGAUUAAUACCGCAUACGACCUGAGGGUGAAAGCGGGGGAUCUUCGGACCUCGCGCUAUUGGAGCGGCCGAUGGCAGAUUAGCUAGUUGGUGGGGUAAAGGCCUACCAAGGCGACGAUCUGUAGCUGGUCUGAGAGGACGACCAGCCACACUGGAACUGAGACACGGCCCAGACUCCUACGGGAGGCAGCAGUGGGGAAUUUUGGGCAAUGGGCGAAAGCCUGAUCCAGCAAUGCCGCGUGUGUGAUGAAGGCCUUCGGGUUGUAAAGCACUUUUGGCGGGAACGAAAAGGACUGUGCCAAUACCACGGUUCGAUGACGGUACCCGCAGAAUAAGCACCGGCUAACUACGUG